rnacentral:rRNA from 1 species
UAGGGAAUCUUGCACAAUGGGCGAAAGCCUGAUGCAGCAAUGCCGCGUGAGUGAAGAAGGUUUUCGGAUUGUAAAACUCUGUUAUAUGGGAAGAAUGGUUAGAGGAGGAAAUGCCUUUGAUUUGACGGUACCAUAUCAGCAAGGGACGGCUAACUACGUGCCAGCAGCCGCGGUAAUACGUAGGUCCCGAGCGUUAUCCGGAAUUAUUGGGCGUAAAGGGUGCGCAGGUGGUUAUGUAAGUCUGGUGUGAAAUUUUUGGGCUCAACCCAAAAAGGUCAUUGGAAACUGCAUAACUUGAGAGCAGGAGAGGUAAGUGGAAUUCCUAGUGUAGCGGUGAAAUGCGUAGAGAUUAGGAGGAACACCAGUGGCGAAGGCGGCUUACUGGACUGCAUCUGACACUGAGGCACGAAAGCGUGGGUAGCAAACAGGAUUAGAUACCCCGGUAGUCC